rnacentral:rRNA from 1 species
CCUACGGGAGGCAGCAGUGAGGAAUAUUGGUCAAUGGGCGCGAGCCUGAACCAGCCAAGUCGCGUGAGGGAAGACGGUCCUAUGGAUUGUAAACCUCUUUUGUCGGGGCGCAAAAGACGCCACGCGUGGCGUUCCGAGAGUACCCGAAGAAAAAGCAUCGGCUAACUCCGUGCCAGCAGCCGCGGUAAUACGGAGGAUGCGAGCGUUAUCCGGAUUUAUUGGGUUUAAAGGGUGCGCAGGCGGAAGAUCAAGUCAGCGGGAAAAUUGAGAGGCUCAACCUCUUCGAGCCGUUGAAACUGGUUUUCUUGAGUGAGCGAGAAGUAUGCGGAAUGCGUGGGGUAGCGGUGAAAUGCAUAGAUAUCACGCAGAACUCCGAUUGCGAAGGCAGCAUACCGGCGCUCAACUGACGCUCAUGCACGAAAGUGUGGGUAUCGAACAGGAUUAGAUACCCUGGUAGUC